UACAGAGGGUGCGAGCGUUGUCCGGAAUCACUGGGCGUAAAGGGCGCGUAGGUGGCACGACAAGUCAGUGGUGAAAGCUCGACGCUCAACGUCGAGUCGGCCACUGAUACUGUUGAGCUGGAGCACUGUAGAGGCUAAUGGAAUUCCGGGUGUAGCGGUGGAAUGCGUAGAGAUCCGGAAGAACACCGGUGGCGAAGGCGGUUAGCUGGGCAGUUGCUGACACUGAGGCGCGACAGCGUGGGGAGCGAUCCGG
rnacentral:rRNA from 1 species